CGGAGCUAACGCGUUAAAUCGACGCUGGGAGUACGGCCGCAAGGUUAAAACUCAAAUGAAUUGACGGGGCCCGCACAGCGGUGGAGCAUGUGGUUUAAUUCGAUGCAACGCGAAGAACCUUACCUGGUCUUGACAUCCAUAGAAUCUUUCAGAGAUGAGAGAGUGCCUUCGGGAGCUAUGAGACAGGUGCUGCAUGGCUGUCGUCAGCUCGUGUUGUGAAAUGUUGGGUUAAGUCCCGCAACGAGCGCAACCCCUAUCCUUUGUUGCCAGCACGUAAUGGUGGGAACUCAAAGGAGACUGCCGUUGAUAAAGCGGAGGAAGGUGGGGACGACGUCAAGUCAUCAUGGCCCUUACGACCAGGGCUACACACGUGCUACAAUGGCGUAUACAAAGGGAUGCGAAGGUGCGAACUGGAGCGGACCUCACAAAGUACGUCUAAGUCCGGAUUGGAGUCUGCAACUCGACUCCAUGAAGUCGGAAUCGCUAGUAAUCGUGAAUCAGAAUGUCACGGUGAAUACGUUCCCGGGCCUUGUACACACCGCCCGUCACACCAUGGGAGUGGGUUGCACCAGAAGUAGAUAGCUUAACCUUCGGGAGGGCGUUUACCACGGUGUGGUUCAUGACUGGGGUGAAGUCGUAACAAGGUAACCA
rnacentral:rRNA from 1 species